UUUUUUGGUUGCUGAUACGAACCAAUUCGUGAUGUUUAGUGUCCAAUGUUUUAGUUUUACAUCAAUUAUUUUUAUAGCUUUGCGUAUGUAACAAAAAACUCAACUCAUCCCCACUAUCACCACAGUACUCUUCUGCUUUAAAAUAAAAUCAACAUAACAGUGUGCAAAAAAAAGAGAGAAGAAAUAGAGAGGAAAAGCACACACAAAAGAAAAAAACAUUAGUCACCGGAAAACUCCAUAAAACACCACUAUGGUGCUUUCCUUCGCCGUGUACAGCAACGACCUAUUAUUUGUCUCUCCCCUUUCUUCAUUUCCUAUUAUUCGUUGGCACCACCACUAGUGCAACCACCGUGACCAGAUUUGUGACCGUUACUACAAGAUUUUCGAUUUAAAAAUGGUGUCCUCCUCGUCUACUCUCACUUCUCCCCGAACGGACACCACCAUAGAGGGCAGUGAGUGUGGUUGGCGGUGACAGAGGAGGUCAUGGCAUGGUGGUGGUGAAAGUUUCCGGCGGCGAUGGGCGAUGCGGAGGAGAGUGCGGAGGAAAGGGUUGCAUUGGAAGGGAUAUGAAAAAUACAGAGAAACUUACGAAACAAAGAGGAGAGAACUUUGCCAUAAAAAGAAUUAUCAAUUAAAAUAACUAUUAUCUCAUGCUUUGUUUGCAUGGUACAACCACAAGAUACUAUUUUAUUGUUAUAUCC
rnacentral:lncRNA from 1 species